AGCUGUAUCCUUGCUGAGACAUCACGCCCUACAGAUGGGGUGAAGGACCACCUGCAUUUUCCAGUGCACAGCAAAACACUGCCUGCUUAGCAGUACUCACGAAUCAGGACCAAAAUUCCUAUUUCUUAAAGGUGAAGCUGGAACUAGUAUGGAGCAUGCUUUCAAAAGACUUUCAUUAACAUUUAGCUUCACAGUUAAGGUCUCUGUGCAUGUUGGAUUCUGGUGUAGUCAGGCAGUUCUGGUAGUAACAUUUUUACAUCUUAUAUUUCCAGGGAUUUGUUACUUUAACUGAGAUUGUAGGUGGCAAAUUCUCCUAACCUCACUUUUUAAAGACCAGAUUUUUUAAAGGAAAUGGGACGUUAGGAAAGAUCUCCCAUCUGUUGUAUUCCUCUGCUGCUGAGGUGCACUCUCCAGCUCCAGAUGUUUGUGUAGUCAAUGCAAAGAUGCAGAGCUUCUACAGCAAGGAGUAUUCCCAAGCAAACUACAAAGUAGCCCACAGCAGCCGAGCUAGCAUUACCAUCAAAGACAACAGCAAGAGCCACAGAAACACAAGACGGCCAUGACAUGCACUGCUUCAAUGUCUAAGAUCAGAGGGACGCCCUACAGGACAGGAACAACAGCCCUGUGCAUGGAGGUGAUGGGACUUCACACAGACAUGAGACAGACAGGUAACAUUCACGUGCCAAUGCAGAAGGAAAACCAAACCUGUUCUUACAGAUGAGAAAGCAUUUCCAGAAGCAUAAAGAGUAAGGCACUAAACAUCUUCUGUUAACUAUUCUUUCAGAGCAUCUGCUUUUGAAGGAUGCUCUUCUUCCAAUUUCAGUUUGUUUUCUGCUGUAACUCCUAGAAUUGCUUCAAUAUCCCGAAUUGCCAUCUGUAACAGAUUCAAGGAAUGCAAGUUAUUUAAUGGACGUUGUAAUGAAAUGUAGCAGCCAAAAUGCACAGCUGGUUGUACUUGCUUCCAAAGGUAAAGAGUGUUACACGGGAGAGGAUGCAGCAAGUGAAUUUACUAUUGCUUUGAGUCUGCCACAGUAAUACCAAGUAUGUACAAAACUUUGAGAAAUAACAAUAGAAUUGCUUGCACUCUGUAUUUCUAAUCAGCUAACAGGUGCUUCAUUUCAGAGAUGUAAAUCACUGUUCACUCACUGUGAAGAUUUCUCUGUGCUAUUUUUCUUCAGUGGUUGCUUUUGACUCCCUCAGAUUGAAAAAUAUAUGUUUUGUUUUUCCGUAACNACAUCUAAUAGGAAUUCCAGCAGCGCCAGCAUUUCUUAGAUUGCUGUGGCUUUCUUAGAAGUAUAAACAUUACCUUGUGAGGAUUUGGUUUCUCACUGCCACAGGCAGACUCUCGGUACACGCCGUCAUGCAAUAGGAUGUCGUUCUGAGGGACAGUGUCCCUCGUUGGCUCACUGGAGCUGACAGCAGAUCUCCAGUGUAGCAAAAUGGAUUACACAGAUGCUUCAGGUAUGCUAGUGAGUUUAUAACAAACCACUAUAUUCUUGAAAAUUCCAUAUUGAGAUAAUGAAAUUGCACUGGAAAGCUAGUGGAAGACAAUCUAGAAUAUAUGGCAAAUAUAUGACGGUGUUCUUACUAAUUUAUUAAUACAACUGGCAACCCAAGCUGGUGAUCCAGGAGGUGGUGGUGUAUCUUACAAGGGGAGCAACUUCUGAGGUAUUAUCCUACAGGAGUCAGAAGGAAUGUGUGUA
ensembl:lncRNA